rnacentral:rRNA from 1 species
UAGCACGGCAGCUAUACAUGCAGUCGGACGGGAUCCGGUGGUAGCUUGCUACCACUGGUGAGAGUGGCGCACGGGUGCGUAACGCGUGAGCAACCUACCUCUAUCAGGGGGAUAGCCUCUCGAAAGAGAGAUUAACACCGCAUAACAUCAACAGUUCGCAUGUUCAGUUGAUUAAAUAUUUAUAGGAUAGAGAUGGGCUCGCGUGACAUUAGCUAGUUGGUAGGGUAACGGCUUACCAAGGCGACGAUGUCUAGGGGCUCUGAGAGGAGAAUCCCCCACACUGGUACUGAGACACGGACCAGACUCCUACGGGAGGCAGCAGUAAGGAAUAUUGGUCAAUGGGCGGAAGCCUGAACCAGCCAUGCCGCGUGCAGGAUGACUGCCCUAUGGGUUGUAAACUGCUUUUGUCCAGGAAUAAACCUAUAUACGUGUAUCUAGCUGAAUGUACUGGAAGAAUAAGGAUCGGCUAACUCCGUGCCAGCAGCCGCGGUAAUACGGAGGAUCCGAGCGUUAUCCGGAUUUAUUGGGUUUAAAGGGUGCGUAGGCGGCCUGUUAAGUCAGGGGUGAAAUACGGUGGCUCAACCAUCGCAGUGCCUUUGAUACUGACGGGCUUGAAUCCAUUUGAAGUGGGCGGAAUAAGACAAGUAGCGGUGAAAUGCAUAGAUAUGUCUUAGAACUCCGAUUGCGAAGGCAGCUCACUAAGCUGGUAUUGACGCUGAUGCACGAAAGCGUGGGGAUCGAACAGGAUUAGAUACCCUGGUAGUCCACGCCCUAAACGAUGAUAACUCGAUGUUGGCGAUAGACAGCCAGCGUCCCAGCGAAAGCGUUAAGUUAUCCACCUGGGGAGUACGCCCGCAAGGGUGAAACUCAAAGGAAUUGACGGGGGCCCGCACAAGCGGAGGAGCAUGUGGUUUAAUUCGAUGAUACGCGAGGAACCUUACCCGGGCUUGAAAGUUAGUGAAAGAUGCAGAGACGCAUCCGUCCUUCGGGACACGAAACUA